rnacentral:rRNA from 1 species
UACGAACCGUCCAAACGUUAUUCGGAAUUACUGGGUUUAAAGGGUACGUAGGCGGCGCUGUUAGUCGGGUGUGAAAUCCCUCGGCUCAACCGAGGAAUUGCGCCCGAUACUGCAGUGCUUGAGGGAGACAGAGGUAAGCGGAACUGAUGGUGGAGCGGUGAAAUGCGUUGAUAUCAUCAGGAACACCGGUGGCGAAAGCGGCUUACUGGGUCUCUUCUGACGCUGAGGUACGAAAGCUAGGGGAGCGAACAGG